AUGGGAUCACAAGAGGCCUGUAGCUCGGUGGUGUUGAGAGAUGAAAAUGAUAAGAUAAAAUGGAGGCUGACAAAAAAUGGGACGUAUACUGUGAAAUCUUAUUAUGGACAUUUGAUAGAAAAUGGGAUCAAAUAUCCACAUUUGUAUAUGUGGAAGAUUAAGAUGCCUCCGAGAGUGGAAGUUUUUAUGUGGCUCACUCUUAGAAACUGCAUUCUCACGAAAGAUAAUUUACGUCGUAGAGGGUGGGGUGGAGAUGAUAAAUGCCCAUUCUGUGGCCGUGAGGAAACUGUAAAUCAUUUGUUCAUAUCUUGCUUGGUAGCUAGGCUGUUGUGGAACAUUCUUAAAUGUGCUUUCAAUCUAACUGAUAUACCAGACGACUUAGAUCUGGUGAUGAGAAUUUGGCCUAAAACUUUUGGAAAAGAAGAGAGGGGUUUAGUUCUGAUAGGGAUUUCGGCUAUAUGUUGGACUAUUUGGAAAUUGAGAAAUAGUGUUGUUUUUGAAAUAACAAGAUAA
rnacentral:rRNA from 1 species